rnacentral:lncRNA from 1 species
AUAAAUACCAUUUAUUUUUACCUUUUUGGGCAAUCAGAAGAGAUGAAAUCAAAUGGUUUUCUUGAUUUCUUUCAAUGGUUGUAAGUUUUUUUGCAUGUUUGAGGCUCAAAUCUGAGGUGGAGAGAGCAAAAGGAUUAAAAUGGGCCAGUUUUGCACCUCCGGCCGCAGUGCACAGUGAUCACCGGCGACGGACGGACGGACGGUGGUCCAAUCAUCGGAAACAGAUUGCCCAGAGAGAAAUCUUCCCCCUUUUUUUCUUUUUUUUUCAGAAAGUAUGAAGAAAUGAGAAUUUUAAAAAAUUUUGGGGUUUUAUAGCAUGUUUAAAACGGCGUCGUUUAAGGCCGUUUCAAUGGCCUCAAAACGGCGUCGUUUAGUGACCCAUGCCCGAGAUCCGACCUGAAACCUGCCUAGGAUCAGCGUGUUUUUGGACUGAAGGUCUAUUUGCGCCUUCGGUCCUUUCGCUUUUGAGGCGUUUCUUAAUGUGGUCCCGUUUUUCUUUUCUUUUUCUUUUUUUAAUUUUUGCUCUAUGGAUUUUACCUCCGAUUCGUUUGGAUCCGCAUUGAAACGCUGCGUUUUGAGGGCUUAGGAUAUUUUCCCCGUCAAUCCCUCUCCUUUACACGUGCGUUUAUUUUGAUCCUGAUUCAUAAUUUAUUAAUUUUUACAUUUUAUAAUUUGUACCCCACGUUUUAUUCUGAUUGCAAUUUAAUCCUUAACCUUUUAGCUUCAUUUUUUUU